AAGCAAGAUAGUGAUAUUAAGCAAAACCCAAAAAGCAGUCUCAGUUCGGAUUGAAGGCUGAAAUUCGCCUUCAUGAAGCCGGAAUUGCUAGUAAUGGCAGGUCAGCAUACUGCCGUGAAUACGUUCCCGGGCCUUGUACACACCGCCCGUCACACCAUGAGAGUUGGGAAUACCCGAAGCCUGUGAGCUAACUUUUAGAGGCAGCAGUCGAAGGUAGAAUCAAUGAUUGGGGUGAAGUCGUAACAAGGUACC
rnacentral:rRNA from 1 species